UACAGGGGGGGCAAGCGUUGUUCGGAAUUACUGGGCGUAAAGGGCUCGUAGGCGGCCAACUAAGUCACACGUGAAAUCCCCAGGCUUAACCUGGGAACUGCGUGUGAUACUGGAUGGCUUGAAUUCGGGAGAGGGAUGCAGAAUUCCAGGUGUAGCGGUGAAAUGCGUAGAUAUCAGGAAGAACACCAAUGGCGAAGGCAGCUCUCUGGGACGGUACUGACGCUGAGACGCGAAAGCGUGGGGAGCGAACAGG
rnacentral:rRNA from 1 species